rnacentral:rRNA from 1 species
UAAUACAGAGGGUGCGAGCGUUAAUCGGAUUAACUGGGCGUAAAGGGCGCGUAGGUUGUAAGAGGAGUGUGAUGUGAAAGCCCCGGGCUUAACCUGGGAAGUGCAUCGCAAACGCUCUAACUAGAGUACAUGAGAGGGUGUUGGAAUUUCCGGUGUAGCGGUGAAAUGCGUAGAUAUCGGAAGGAACGUCGAUGGCGAAGGCAGACACCUGGCAUGAUACUGACACUGAAGCGCGAAAGCGUGGGUAGCGAACAGGAUUAGAUACCCUGGUAGUCCACGCUGUAAACGAUGAGGACUAAAUGUUGGUUGGGGAACCAAUCGGUAUUGAAGCUAACGCGAUAAGUCUUCCGCCUGGGAAGUACGGCCGCAAGGUUG